GAUGAAGAACGUAGCGAAAUGCGAUAAGUAGUGUGAAUUGCAGAAUUCAGUGAAUCAUCGAAUCUUUGAACGCACAUUGCGCCCCUUGGUAUUCCAUGGGGCAUGCCUGUUCGAGCGUCAUUUGUACCUUCAAGCUCUGCUUGGUGUUGGGUGUUUGUCUCGCCUCUGCGUGUAGACUCGCCUUAAAACAAUUGGCAGCCGGCGUACUUGUUUCGGAGCGCAGCACAUUUUGCGAUCCAGAUCAACGUACAGCGGCAUCCAAGAAGCCUUAUUUAACGCUCUUGACCUCGGAUCAGGUAGGGAUACCCGCUGAACUUAAGCAUAUCAAUAAGCGGAGGA
rnacentral:misc_RNA from 1 species